rnacentral:rRNA from 1 species
CAGCAGCCGCGGGAAUACGAAGGGUGCAAGCGUUACUCGGAAUUACUGGGCGUAAAGCGUGCGUAGGUGGUGGUUUAAGUCCGUUGUGAAAGCCCUGGGCUCAACCUGGGAAUUGCAGUGGAUACUGGAUCACUAGAGUGUGGUAGAGGAUAGUGAAAUUUCCGGUGUAGCAGUGAAAUGCGUAGAGAUCGGAAGGAACAUCUGUGGCGAAGGCGACUAUCUGGGCCAACACUGACACUGAGGCACGAAAGCGUGGGGAGCAAACAGGAUUAGAUACCCGCGUAGUCCCUGUCUCUUAUAC